ensembl:lncRNA
GCGAUGGGGAAGCAUUCCACGUUGAUAAACCUAAUGGGCAGUGUGUGGAGAAUGCUCGAGUAGCCAACCUCCCCCCCUUCGCCAGAGCCGUAAUUGGGAUAGAUCGCUGACAGAAGGGAGAAGGCGGGGCUGGGCACGGGGGAGGGCAUGGGAAGGUGCAAGGCUAGAAACAAAAGGUGUUCUCCUUCUGAAGGACAGGCUACAAUCUCCCUGGAUUCAUCUCUUAAGUGAUACUCUGAACCUGUUCUAUUUAAUCUGCCCGUCUACAGCGAUUGCGGAGUGAAGAAAGGAAAGGAAUCCAUCACGGCCUUUGCGUUUCUCUCUCUUUUAUGAAGGGACGGUGUGACGGUUCACUUACGAAGAGCCCGACGUCCAGCCGCACCGGGUUCAUUGACCCUGCUUGAUCUCCCCUCUGCGGCGAAUCAUCCCGGAGCCCCGGCUCUCGCUUCGCAGGAUACUGAGAACCAGGCAGGUGUGACGCAGGGCUCACACCAGGAAGGCGAUUUUAAGAAGCUGGACGCUACGCAAUCCUUGUUCAAAGAAAAAGAGAUCUGGAUCCUCCAUCGCAACAUCUGCCCGAAGGAGAACAGCCGAGCCGGUUUUGCCACAAACGGGGAAGUCACGCAGACGCACCGGUGUGUUACAUGGCUCACCGCCGAGGGCGCGGUGCCUUCCACCCGGACGCUGCUGCUCUCUGUCAGGACCCAUGCUGCCGUCAGCCUGCUCUGCUCCUCAGUCGCCCCGGCGAUCAGCACUUUGCCGGACGGCGCAUCGCCGGAGUUUGCCUGCUGGUCGGCUGAGCUGAGCAACAGCCCCCGUUGCGCUCCGCAUCGCAGGUUUGCCCUCUCAAAAACAAAAACGGCAGGAGCGACAAAACACCUGGCAGAGCGCUCAUUGCAGCUUUAAACAUGAGGCCCGUCUGCCCAUUUCUCCAUCCACCUCGGUUCCAAAAACAAACGCUGCUUUUUUUACACUCAUCCCAGCCCUUGUUUGCUUAAAAAAAAACACAAGAAACCUUCUUAUAGUCCAAGAAAAAAAGAAAUUCACUCGGCCUUUUAGAGGAUUUUUAAGUAACACAAAUAAUCACUGACAGAUUGUAUAAACUGUAACAACGGUUUGAAUUGCACCGAACUCACGCAUUAAAACAAAUUUAUAAUCGAUGCCUCCACAAAGAGGCGAAAUACAGACAGGGCCUGUAAGAGUGCAUUUUGAGCAACGCAGAACCGCUUCAUGGUACUUUGGCCUCUUGUGCUGCACAGCGCUUCCGGGAGAAGAAGGACUCCUCGCUUUGCAGGUGGAAGGCGACCUGCUCCGGAAUCGAUUUGUCCCCCUCACGACCUGUAGCACCUAUACACCUUGUCAUGCUGAAUUACUUCUGAAACGAUGUUAAAACACUCGUGUUUCACUGAAAUAUGUAACAUCCUAUUUUUUUUAACCUUUUCAGGGGCAAAACAAAAGCUUCUUCUUGGGAAUCUUUCAGGAUUUAUGCAUGUAUCUGCAAGCAUUUUGUUUCUUGUGUGUGUGUGUGUGUGUGUGUGUGUGGGGUGGUGUAAAUUGUCCCAAGCCGCUAUGCUCAAGGUGACAGCUGUAUUGAUUCCCUCUAUCUUUGCACACCCUCUAUUGUUGUGAUCCCUUGGCCACCUGUCGUGAUGUACCAAGGCUUCAGUAAAAAAUUGCCUUAUUGUUUUAUUUUAAAAUUUAUGUUUUUUUCAUCUUCUUCGGUUCCACACUGGCACUGGAUAUAUUGUAUAGAAACAAUUAUGUUUAAAAGAAACUCAGGUCAGAGGAAACGGUCGAGAGACAUCACAUCAUCCUGCCCUCGGACUGCUUGAGUCGAAGCUCAUUGGCAGGUCCUCUCUUCACGCUGGUCGCAUCCCCCUGGAGGUCCCUCCAGAAUCAGUGCUCGGUCCAAUACUUGUCUCACUGCACGUGGCGUCACCCCCCCAUCAGUUCUCAUAUCGCUAUUCACAAUCAUGAAACUCAAGAAGCUCUCUGCCCCACCCGUUAAAUACCCACAUCCCCACGUUGAUCCGUACCAGCUGACCUACCCUUCUGGGUGACCAACCGACGACAUAACAACCUGUCCACCAAGAACAUUCUUGAGCCCGGUUGCACCUGGUUGCACUUCACGGUGAGCUUCUCAUCACCGCCAUUCGCUGCAUGAUGAUGCCGCCAUCUAAAAGAGGUCAAGGAGUUCGCUUCAUUGAGAACCUCCGUGGCUUUACUCGGAAACGCCAUCCUGCAGAUUCGGUUCAAUACAAUCGCAUUCCAUUUAGUUUUCCCGCUCAGCGACACAGAGCGCUGAACAAAGAAUCAUGAGACAGAUUUCUCCUCUGCAGCGACUAAAUAAUCCAAGCCUGCCUCAUUGCACUUCCCAUCUAACUGCUGUUCCUGGCUAUGAUAAUACUGUAUAUAACAGCUACAAUUUCCUCUUGGGCACAGCCGUGCAGCUCAUCUUCAUCUUGCCUAACCGCUCCGACGUCUCGUCCCUCCUGACCUCCCUCCGCUAGCUGCAGUUCAGAAACCUCAUGCUACCUUUUUUUUUUUCUGGGCUGUCCAGAGCACAUCUCCCCCCGUACCCUGAGGACCUCAUCAAGCCGAACGCGCCAUCAAGAUCUCGAGGUCCGCAUCUUCCGAUCCCCCAGUUAGCGCAUCGCUGAAAGGUCAGCAGUAAGAACCGCACUCGUCUCUUCUCCGUCCCGGGCCCUCGGUGUUAUGAUGAUCUAUUCCGGUGCGUGACAACUUCUCAGUGAGUCCAGGUGUUCGUGAAAAAGGUUCAAAACCCACCUCUCCAAGCGGAUUUCCCACUUUCCACCCCUUGCACAGUUGUACAUACAUCUUUCAAAAGCAUAGACGUAGAGAUUGCACCAGUGUGUCACCAUGGGCCCGGUGGGAGGAGCUGGCUCAGUUUUGGUCGCUUACCUCAUGAACUUUUCUUCCCUAAAUUUACAUUUUAUGGCUAAACCAGUUAAACAAAUAAAUGUAAAUUGAACUUAUGAUCA